AUUGAACGCUGGCGGCAUGCCUUACACAUGCAAGUCGAACGGUAACAGGUCUUCGGAUGCUGACGAGUGGCGAACGGGUGAGUAAUACAUCGGAACGUGCCCGAGAGUGGGGGAUAACGAGGCGAAAGCUUUGCUAAUACCGCAUACGAUCUCAGGUUGAAAGGAGGGGACCGGAAGGCAUUGCGCUUACGGAGCGGCCGAUGGCAGAUUAGGUAGUUGGUGGGAUAAAAGCUUACCAAGCCGACGAUCUGUAGCUGGUACUGAGAGGACGACCAGCCACACUGGGACUGAGACACGGCCCAGACUCCUACGGGAGGCAGCAGUGGGUAAUUUUGGACAAUGGGCGCAAGCCUGAUCCAGCCAUGCCGCGUGCAGGAUGAAGGCCUUCGGGUUGUAAACUGCUUUUGUACGGAACGAAAAGACUCUGGUUAAUACCUGGGGUCCAUGACGGUACCGUAAGAAUAAGCACCGGCUAACUACGUGCCAGCAGCCGCCGUAAGAC
rnacentral:rRNA from 1 species